GAAAAACUUGAAAAUGAUUUCUCAAAAAUCAUAAUGGACUCGUCUUCUUCGACAACACCGGUGACACAAUGAUCAAUGGUUUAUUUGGAAAGGAUUGCUAAGGAGUAAGGACACAUAGCUAUG